rnacentral:rRNA from 1 species
GGAUGCGAUCAUACCAGCACUAAAGCAGCGGAUCCCAUUAGAACUUCGAAGUUAAGCGUGCUUGGGCGAGAGUAGUACUAGGAUGGGUAACCUCCUGGGAAGUCCUCGUGUUGCAUUCC